rnacentral:tRNA from 1 species
GGGUGUAUAGCUCAGGGGUAGAGCGUGUGCUUAGCAUGUAUGAGGUCCUGGGUUCAAUUCCCAGUAUGUUCA